rnacentral:lncRNA from 1 species
GAUGACUGAUCAUAGCGAACUAGCUACUUAAGGAUCGUUGAGGCGCCUGCCUGUCCCACGGAAAGCAACUCCAUCAGCCUGCUGUGUGGUGGUAGUAGUCCCGCUGCUUGUUUGUGGCUGCACUGGGGUGCUUGUUUGUGGCUGCACUGGGGUGCUUGUUCUAGUACUCCCGUUGAGUCGAAAGCUUCUUCCUCGGAAUGCAACUCCGGCUUGUGGAUUGCGCUCCACUGGGGAAUUGACUUGGAUUCCCUGACCCCAG